CCUACGGGUGGCAGCAGUGAGGAAUAUUGGUCAAUGGACGGAAGUCUGAACCAGCCAUGCCGCGUGCAGGAAGACGGCUCUAUGAGUUGUAAACUGCUUUUGUACAAGGGUAAACCUGAAUACGUGUAUUCAGCUGAAAGGACGGUACGAAUAAGGAUCGGCUAACUCCGUGCCAGCAGCCGCGGUAAGACGGAGGAUCCAAGCGUUAUCCGGAUUUAUUGGGUUGCAAGGGUGCGUCGGCGGCUUGUUAAGUUAGAGGUGAAAUGUCCGAGCUUCACUCGGGAACUGCCUCUCAUACUGUUGAUCUAGAGUGUAGCUGCGGUAGGCGGAAUGUCUGGUGUAGCGGUGAAAUGCUUAGAGCUCAUACAGAACACCGAUUGCGAAGGCAGCUUACCAAUCUAUAUCUGACGUUGCGGCACGAAAGCGUGGGGAGCAAACAGGAUUAGAUACCCGAGUAGUC
rnacentral:rRNA from 1 species